AUCAGGUAGGGAUACCCGCUGAACUUAAGCAUAUCAAUAAGCGGAGGAAAAGAAACCAACAGGGAUUGCCCUAGUAACGGCGAGUGAAGCGGCAACAGCUCAAAUUUGAAAUCUGGCCCUUUCAGGGUCCGAGUUGUAAUUUGCAGAGGGCGCUUUGGCGUUGGCAGCGGUCCAAGUUCUUUGGAACAGGACGUCACAGAGGGUGAGAAUCCCGUACGUGGUCGCUAGCCUUCGCUGUGUAAAGCCCCUUCGACGAGUCGAGUUGUUUGGGAAUGCAGCUCUAAAUGGGAGGUAAAUUUCUUCUAAAGCUAAAUACCGGCCAGAGACCGAUAGCGCACAAGUAGAGUGAUCGAAAGAUGAAAAGCACUUUGGAAAGAGAGUUAAAAAGCACGUGAAAUUGUUGAAAGGGAAGCGCCUAUGACCAGACUUGUCUCG
rnacentral:rRNA from 1 species